rnacentral:lncRNA from 1 species
AUCCUGAACAUGGGAGAGUGCAUUUCAGUCCGUGUUUUGCUGAUGUUUCUGGCCCUAAUCAGCUAUCUAAUUGCACUGACAUUCAACAUAUUGGCUCUAUUUGGACCCUGGACAGGUGCGUUUAUGCAAACCACACAGUAUGUGCUGAGCAAGUCCACAACGCACCUAACCCCGGAUAGAUGGGUACUCUUUCUAUGGGACGUCCUUAACGUCUGGUUGAUCGGCAUGUUCAUCUAUCUGAUACACAAUCUCCGUAGAAGGGAAGCGUAUACAUGGAUGUACACCACUCCUGCUGUCCUGCCCUACGGAUUCUACUUGUCCUGGAUCGUGAAUAGCAUUUUGAAUAUGGCAUGGUUAUUUCUGUACGACAAAGAAUUCUGUGUUUGUCAUAGAAAGAUGGUGCCAACGCUGCUGAUCACAGCAUUACAGGCCAUCUCCAACUGCGUGAUUAUCAUGUUCUCCUGCUACGGACUGGUCGUCUAUGGAGCGUGGCUCCAUAAAUAUCACAACAAUGAUCUCUGGCUCAUUCGAAUACUGGUGCAAAACGGAGUGGCUUUGUAUGCAACAUGGUGGGCUGUGGCUACCUUUUUACACUUGACCGUUGUUUUAGACCAUCAAACCCCAAUACCCAAGACAGAUGCUGCCAUAAUGGUACUAGUGCUGCUCCAAUUGGGACUCAUAGGAUGGUUUGUCAUAGAGAACUGGUACCUGGAUAAGCACGUGCGCUACAUCCUCACAGUGUACCCUGUGGUGAUCCUGGUGUUGGCCGCGAGUGUGGCCAAUCCAGCCACGCCCGGUACCCACAUAGACAUCAUGUCUGCUGUCAUAUUGGCCAUAACUAGUGUCAUAUUCAUUGUACGCAUUGUCAUGGUGUUAUGGAAGCACAACAACAAACCGUUUUACGGAGAAGAGGAGCUCAUGUCUCCAGUGGACAUCGCCAGAACACAGAAGCUCAUCUUCAUGUAGGAAGAAGAGAGCCGAUGCGGAGAUUCACGUGCCCCCUUGUUUGAAUGUUGUUUUCCUAAACGUUUAAUGGCUGAGACGUGAUCAAACUCUCCCUGUGUUGGAUUCAUAAGGCUUUGCUUCAGAAAGACAUGUAGGUGAUGAUUUAGGCUAGUAGUGCCUUUGUACCGUACAGAUUGAGCUCAUAACCAUUGGCCAAGCUAAUGUCUUUUUCGAAAUCAUAUCAAUGACUGUGUGUGAUAAAACUAUGGACCGGCAUUCUCUCAUGACCGCAAUACUAAUUCAAUGGCAUUAAUGUGAUUGUGUUCUUUUUUUAAAUGUAUUUAGUUAACCUUUAACUUCCACCAUAUUGUUUUUAUACCAGGAUCUGAUCUGCCUUUUGUGUUUUGACGUUUUGUUUUAGGUGCUAUACUGUACAACAAUUUGGACUGCAUUUAUGUAUGAAUGAAGCUAUAGAAAUAAAGUGUAUUAUUAUACUUACCAACGCACUUGUCUGUAAAUGCUAUUGUGAUUUAACAAUAGUAAAUACAACCGUGUGCCACUGUGCAGUAGUAGGAGCACCCAUUGGUUAGACUCCAUGGGGAAAAAUAACCACACACACACAAACACAGUAAACCAUGAUACACUGACUGAAACAGUGCCAUCAUCCAAAGUCCAAUGCACCAGAUCCAAGAUAGUGUGUGUUUAUAAAAGAGUGUUGGUGUGUGAGGCAAGCGUUCUACAGUUGAUCGCUCGACAGGGAGGAUGUACCGCUCCCGUGUGUCUCCGUAUGGCCAGGGCAGUAUGGAGCGACAUCAUCACCAUGUGGUCCUACACGGUGUGUGUAUCGCUCUGGCCAUGUUUAGCCAGGUGGCUUCCGAGACCUUCCAUGUUCUAGCAUCAGGGACCAACUCUGGCGGUGAGUGAAAUCUACCAGACACCUGGUCCAUCUCUGUACUACAGUGCACUACUGUGAGGGCAUCAUGGACUUUGGUUCAGCAGACAAUCUGGAUAAAUGAGUACAGUGGCUAGUGGAUGUAUCCUGAGUGCAAUGCUAUGAUUAGAAUGCCACCGUUUGUAGAGUCAAGAUUGUAGAGUCAAGCGCAUGAUGUGGUCAUUGCGUCCUAGGAACAUGGGAUCAAAUACUAAACUUUUGACUACUUUUUUUAACAUGAAUAUUUAGGCGUGACAAUCAUUUUGACCUCUACCUUUUUUUUGGGGGGGGAAAAAAAUACUACUUAUGAAACAAAAUUUUACACAGUCAUUAUUGCUCAUCUUUAUCAAGGCUGCCAGUAAUUUCGGACUUUGUCACUGUCGGUCGUAAUGAAUGACUAUUUGAGCCAAUAUGACCUGUAAAGGAUAUCUCUUGCAGGGAUGUUCCAAAUGCACAUGCAGUAUGUCACCCAAAGGAUCCCUUUGAGAAGAUAAGUUAGAACAACGUGUCAUACACCAAUGUUUCCACAGUGGAAUGACUUUAUGUAAUGAUGGACCUUUGGCCUGACACACGUUUUAAAUGUCAAUUUACAGCCCAGCACUGAAGAGAGGCCAAUGAUUGUGUUUUUUAACUCCUAAUAUGCGUGUCACCAACCGCAUUACAUAAGCCGAUGAGUUGAUAAACGACACUUUGCAGACACUUCUGAAAAGGAAACUUUGUAAGCUGGAGGUAAUGUUACCACAGAGUUUUCAAACCCAGAGACACAACAUCAUGAUACUUGCGUUAUCGAAGGAGUCUCAACAGACCAGACCGGGGUUUGGGGUUUGGAAAGCCAAUGGGAGAAGGGAAAAUGUGUCCUUAGUUGUUAAUUUUCUCAAAUUCUAAAGAAUUUAGAAUUUUAGAAUCUAAAAAUAAAAAAUAUAUAUUCGAGCCAAUGUCUUAACUAGCUGAACAGGUUAUUACAAGAACCUUGUGAAAGUGAAAAACUGACACGUUUUCAUUUUUGUCAAAAACAACUUUAUAUCGAAGGAGUGCCUCUCAUUUGACGGCCUGCACAUGCGCUGUUCUACGCAACACAAUCUUUAGACUCGGGGGAAGUGUUUCUAUGCAUGGGCUAUUCUUGCUAACACCGCCAUGACAUCACCCAGAAGUGUGAUCAGGGAUUUCUAUCGGAGAAGCAGAUUCUGCACAUCUUCAUACUGUACUGUCUUUGAUGUUACUGCUCAUACUGAUGUAUUCUCCAUCUCACUGUUAUACAGUGUCCAUAUUAGGACUGUGUCAGCAGGACUUGUUUCAGUCUGAGGCUGUCCUGAUAUGGACACCAUUCUCGUGCAUGCUGUGAAUCUAUUUCCUAUGAUGGGAGGCAAACACUAAAGUAUCUCCAUUGCCAAUAGGAUAAGCUGGCUUGUUAUUCACAAUACAGCUUCAUCUUCACAUAGCUUAUACUGGUAUUACAUUGCAACUCUAUACUUACUGUUAUACACAGUAACUGUAUGGUGUCCAUAUUAGGACACCCUCAAUCUUAGCAGGAGGAUGUCCUAAUAUGGACACUGUAGUAUGUGGAUUGUAGAGCUUGCUAGUUUAUAGUCCAAAAAAAACAGAAAUGAGUUACCUCUGGUUCGUUUAGCCAUUCCUAUGGAGGAAAUUAAUGGGGCAAGUAUGGGGUUUUGGGACAAACGCCGAAAAUAAGGCCUGAGGUUAACACAGGUUUAGGAGAUCGUAUAUGUUUUGUUCUAUUAUCAGUCAGUUAACAUGACUUUUAUGAGUUCUGAAGUCUUUAUGUGCUUGUUCUGUUUGUGAAAAUGUAAGAAACAAUCACACAAAAAGAUGUUAGCUGAUGAAGAUUAUCUCAUAGAGCAAAACAUAUAGUGUCUCCUAAGCCGGUGUUUACCAUAGACCUUAUUUUCUGCGUUUAUCUAAAAACUUAACAACAAAAACAUGUUUUCCCUUUAGACUUUGGCCAAUGAGCCAU